UCUCUGCUCCGACAGGACUCUCUCUGAGGACCUUCUGCCGUCCCAUCACCGCAGCUCUCCGUUAUCUUCCGCUGCUCUCACUUUUCUUCCGUCCUCACCUGAGCGGUUGAUGAUGUCACCGCGCCACCUGGCGGCGACGUGCUGCGUCACCGGCGUGAUUGUUGCCUUCAGGUGCUCCCGUAAACUUCACAGUCCCUCCCUCUUUCUUUCUUUCUUUAUGUUCAUUUCUAUCUAUCUAUCUAUCUAUCUAUCUAUCUAUCUAUCUAUCUAUCUUAUAUUUGUCUUUUUCUUUGUCUUCUAUUUUCUUUUUGUCUUUCUUUCUUUCUUUCUUUCUUGCCUAAAAGGAAGUUUCAUUUAGUUUCUAUUGGCCUAGUACGGGCAUAGAAGACAAGAUCUCUUGGACCUUAGUUGACUGCAUCACAUUUCAGCUAAGUUACACUAGUUUACCAGUUAAAUCUGACAGAAGCAAAGUCUCUUAGAAGACAAGUUUAAUGUCCUACCAAAGACUUUCUGCCACAAUGAAUCUGAACACAAACAAAGCUGUCUGAUGGAAUUUAACAUAAAUGAAAUUUCUUGAAUAAAAGACGACUGCAGCUUCCAAGUUCGCUGACGCAGGAAGACAAGAAUGCAGCUGUGCCAGAUACAGCCUAUUAAUUACAGCGCAUCGUCCGCACUCUGACAGAACCUGCAGCUGUUGACUGCCGCUCAGACCACCACCCUAUCAUUAAAGAUUCACAAGUCACAAAGAUCAACAGCAGCAGAAAUGUUUCCAGCUCCUACAGACAGUGGACGCCACGCCUCAGGGUACUGCGUCGGGCCCCAGCCGGGGAAGGAGGGGCAUCAUGAAGGUAAAGGAAAGGAUGCAGAGAUAGAGAGGGCCAAGGAAAAGGAUGCAGGAGGGAAGAGUAGCAGCUCUGAUCGUGACCACAAGGACCAAAGGAGCUCUAACAGUGACCGAUAUGACAGCGGGGACCGCCGUAGCUCUGAGCGUGACCGAUGUGACAGCGGGGACCACCGUAGCUCUGAGCGUGACCGAUAUGACAGCGGGGACCACCGUAGCUCUGAGCAUGACCGAUAUGACAGCGGGGACCACCGUAGCUCUGAGCGUGACCGAUAUGACAGCAGGGACCGCCGUAGCUCUGAGCGUGACCGAUAUGACAGCGGGGACCACCGUAGCUCUGAGCGUGACCGAUGUGACAGCAGGGACCGCCGUAGCUCUGAGCGUGACCGAUGUGACAGCAGGGACCGCCGUAGCUCUGAGCGUGACCGAUGUGACAGCGGGGACCACCGUAGCUCUGAGCGUGAUGGAGAAAAAAAGCACAAAGGACGCCGUCACCGCCGUGGGAGUGGUGGUGGAAGCCCAGGGCACAGCGGUGGCAGUGGUGAUAGCUACGGUAGCGGCGAUAGCUACGGCAGUGGCGGCAGCGGAGGUAGCGGCAGUGAGGACGAUGGCCACCCAGGAAAACAUGGCCGCAAACACAGGCACAAGCAUGGCCGCGGUCGUGGCCACGGUCGUGGGCACAAGCAUGGUCAUGGUCACGGCCGCUAGAAGAGCAGUGAACACAGGAACCACUUCAGUGACGAAAACUGGUGUGUCAACCUGCCUGCAGCUUUUGAACUUCAGCCAAAACAGUUGAGACGACGCUGCAGGGAAAAUAACUACCAGAAAUGAAAUAAUUAACCCACUGUACUGCAUCAGCAAUGGUGCAAUAAGUACACAUAUGCAAAGAAAAUGGUUAAAUGAAAUAAAAUACUCUGAAGACAA